rnacentral:rRNA from 1 species
GAUCGAAACGAGAGCUGGUACCAGAGUACCGCAAGACACGAGGAAUCUGGCGGGAAGCAGGGGGGACCACCCCCCAAGCCUAAAUACGAAUUGGUGACCGAUAGCGCAUAGUACCGUGAGGGAAAGGUGAAAAGAACCCCGGGAGGGGAGUGAAAGAGAACCUGAAACCCUGUGUUUACAAGCAGUGGAAGAACGAUCAAAGUUCGACCAUGUACUUUUUGUAGAACGGACCGGCGAGUUACGUUAUGCAGCGAGGUUAAGAUCUGGGAGGAUCGGAGCCGGAGCGAGAGCGAGUCUGAAUAGGGCGAAGAGUUGCAUGACGUAGACCCGAAACCGGGUGACCUAUCCAUGGCCAGGUUGAAGUGAGAGUAAAAUCUCAUGGAGGACCGAACCAGACGUCUGUUGAAAAAGGCGGGGAUGAGCUGUGGAUAGCGGAGAAAUUCCAAUCGAACCCGGAGAUAGCUGGUUCUCCUCGAAAUAGCUUUAGGGCUAGCCUCGUAUUAGAUUAUCGGAGGUAGAGCACUGAAUGGGCUAGGGGGUCCAAAGCUUACCGAACCCUAUCAAACUGCGAAUGCCGAAUAAUUGAUGUACGGGAGUCAGUCCGCGAGAGAUAAGUUCCGCGGGCAAAAGGGGAACACCCCAGACCCGCCGCUAAGGUCCCGAAGUUCACGUUAAGUGGAGAAGGAUGUGUGAUUGCAUAGACAACCAGGAUGUUGGCUCAGAAGCAGCCAUUCAUUCAAAGAGUGCGUAAUAGCUCACUGGUCGAGUGGUCAUGCGCCGAAGAUGUACCGGGGCUCAAACGUGACACCGAAGCGCGGGAUUCGUUUUAAGGACGAGUGGUAGAGGAGCAAUGAAUCAGGGCAGAAGCCAGAUCGAGAGGACUGGUGGACUUGAUUCAAGAGAGAAUGCCGGUAUGAGUAGCGAGAGGCAAGCGAGAAACUUGCCCGUCGAAAGCCUAAGGUUUCCUGGGGAAGGUUCAUCCGCCCAGGGUAAGUCGGGACCUAAGCCGAGGACGGAAGUCGUAGGCGAUGGACAGCAGGUGGAGAUUCCUGCACCGCCUUGAGAAUGAGGCAAUGACACAGAAGGAUAGCAUGAGCCGGGUGAUGGUCAACUCGGUUUCCACAGCGAGGGUGCUUGGUAGUGAAGUACGUCAAGCAAAAGCCUGAGCCGAAGAGGGAGCGAAAUCAAGUAGCGAAGCAUGCGAUUUCACGCUGGCGAGAAAAGUUGCUAGUAUAUCAAAGAGGCGCCCGUACCGCAAUCCGACGCAGGUAGGCGAGAAGAGAAUUCUAAGACGAACGGGAGAAUCCUUGUUAAGGAACUCGGCAAAAUGACCCCGUAACUUCGGGAGAAGGGGUGCCGAUGGAAACAUCGGUCGCAGAGAAUAGGCUCAAGCAACUGUUUAGCAAAAACACAGGUAUCUGCGAAAGAGAGAUCUGACGUAUAGGUGCUGACACCUGCCCGGUGCUGGAAGGUUAAGGGGAAAUGUUAGGGCAACCGAAGCAUAGAACCGAAGCCCCAGUAAACGGCGGCCGUAACUAUAACGGUCCUAAGGUAGCGAAAUUCCUUGUCGGGUAAGUUCCGACCCGCACGAAUGGUGUAAUGAUUUGAGCGCUGUCUCAACAGGGAGCCCGGUGAAAUUGAAGUAU